UGGGUUUGACAUGCUAGUAGUAGGAGCUCGAAAGGGUAACGAUUCUUGUCUUCGGGCAAGAAAGCUAGCAC
rnacentral:rRNA from 1 species